rnacentral:rRNA from 1 species
UCCGUAGGUGAACCUGCGGAAGGAUCAUUAUAUGGCAAGGGGCCGCUGGCGGGGGUCCGUUGCUUAACUGCGACGAUGCCGCCGCCGGACGCUUAGCCCUCGUCCCUUACCUUGAUUAUGUGCACCGUGUUUUAUUGUUCCUCGGCGGCGCUCUUGUGCCGCCGAAACAAUAGCCUUGGAACCCUUUUUGUAUCAGCAUCAAACUUCUGAAAACAAACUAAAUCGUUUACAACUUUCAACAAUGGAUCUCUUGGUUCUGGCAUCGAUGAAGAACGCAGCGAAAUGCGAUAAGUAGUGUGAAUUGCAGAAUUCAGUGAAUCAUCGAAUCUUUGAACGCACAUUGCGCCCCUCGGUAUUCCGUGGGGCAUGCCUGUUCGAGCGUCAUUUACACCCUCAAGCUUCUGCUUGGUGUUGGGCGUCUGUCCCCGCUUCGCGCGCGGACUCGCCCCAAAGACAUUGGCAGCGGUCGUGCCAGCUUCUCGCGCAGCACAUUGCGCUUCUCGAAGCUCCGGCGGACCCGCGUCCAUCAAGCCCACUCUCCAGGUUUGGACCUCCGGGGGGAUCAGGGUAGGGGGAUACCCGGCUGAACUUAAGGCAUAUCAAUAAGGCGGGGGAGGGGAA